rnacentral:lncRNA from 1 species
AAAUGAAUCUCUGGUCUUUUCAGAGCUACAGGGACGUGAUUUGCAUCAGAUUGGUUUGGAAAAUAAACUAUCUUUGGGGCAGAAGGUGAGAAGAUCGACCAGAGAAAAGAUAAAGUGAGGCAUCUCAUCAGCAGAGGAAGAUGGAUUUACCCUCAGAAAGCAAGCCUGCUGGAAUUCUGAAGUCCCUGUGUAUCCAUUUCCUACUGGCUGUCUAGAUGCCUCAGAGAAAUCCAACCUUGCAGGGAGAUGACAGUUUGAAAGAAAGUAAAAUCAUUCAUGAUGUCAAAGAUGCCCAGAGGGUGGCAGGGGC